AACUUUUAAAAUCACAUUUAUUUUAAGUUUGAGGAAACAGCUUUAGUUUGUAACACUAAAAUUUUAAGAAAUAGUCUAAGAAAUCCCAGCUUUUAAAUAUAUAAUAUAAAUAUAUACAAUAAUAAAUAAAACGUUAACUGCAUUUUAAAUUCAGUAGUGUAAAAUACAGAAUAUUUCCAUACCAUUUUGCUUUUGCUUUUAUAUUUUGGUACGUUUUUGUUAGAAAUGCAUGACUAAUACUCUUAUACCAUUAAGCAUUUUAUUGAAAAAAAUAUUAUUGCAUUGAACUACAGUCCAAGUAAUUUAUUGAAUAACCUUAAAAAGCUGCUUUGCAUGUACAUUAGUGCAAUUUACUUAACCACACCAUGAUAAAAAAAAACAUUUUGUACAUAAAAAACAAAAUAAAAUCAUUGGAUUAUGUUUCAUAUUGCCAGACUAUCAUCCAAUUUAAUUACAAAGUAAAUACUUUAAAUAGGAUCGAGUAAGGUAGGAAUUUGUCUUAAACAGCUACAUAACCAAUUUACAUUAUCAACCAAUUUAUAAUCUCCCACAAAUAGAAGGAAGUGACAAUUUUUAGCAUGAUGGAAAAUAAAUCUUUCUUGAAGUUGAUUAUUUCAAUAAGUGAAUAUGUCUUGAAAAACACUAUUUUGAAUAUCUUUUGAACAAAGAUAAAGGUCUACAACUGAAGACUAGAAUAUAUUCAUUAGGAACACACAGUGGCAUACACACUCACAUGUACACACACAUAUAUUUUGUUAUAUUUCCAAUUUGCCUGCUUUGCAUUUCUGCCAAGAUGAUCUCGCAAUUUAAGAAAGGUGAUGAGGUGCAAAAGGAAGCAGUGGCUUUGGGAAGGGAAUUAAGAAGGAGGAUUGGGAGGUUGCCCUCCAACACAAAGCUGCAUAAAAUGAAAAAAAAAAAAAAAAGACCCUUUGGCUUAUCUUUCUCAUAUUGGUUUAUUCUAAACCCUACCGAUUCAGCCACUGCUUCCAUUUUAAUAUAACUUAAUCCAAAGCAAUACAACAAUCACUUUCAAAUGUCUACCUAAUAGAAGCAGUGGAUAAUAUUUUUGCUGCAAUGAAAUGAUAACCUUUUAAAAUCCUCUGGACCCAGGUUUAUUGGCUGAGAAACUCAUAUUUUAGUAGGAAACUCCUAUCUUACUGAAGUAGUUUCAGUCUGAGACACAAAGGAAGUAAACUUUUUUCUCGACUACUCUAUGGAAGUGGUCACUCACUUGCUUUUUUAAUAAUUUUUCUAUUUUCCAAGGAGAGUACAUUUCUCUUUAGGAGUUCACUCACUUAAAAAUUCAAAAGUAAAUCUCUUCAUGAGUCCUGCUAAGCCAGAGAUAAGCACUAGGCCAAUUUUGCCCCUAAGUACAUUAGCUACAUACACUGAUUUGUGAGAUUUGGGUUCUUUCUAUUGUGCUUCUAGAAAAUUGGAUUUGACAUUUACAUAUUUUUCUUUGGAAUGUUUAACCAUCUUUCUGAACUCUUGUGGUGAAAUUUUCAGGGAAGAUUGAAAAAUGUGCUACCAGUUUGAAAUGACCAGCAACGUUAUUUCACUAAUGAGGAGGCAGUUAACUCCCCACACAGCCUGGGGAGGGCAUCGGGAUGUUUCACUCAUAUAUAUCUAAAACACUAGGCUAACAAGCAGUCCCCUUGAUAAAGACUAAAGCAUCUUCAUAUCUCCCAUUAGUGUUCUGAAUGCUUGAAAAGCAUGAAGCUUUUGAAUCGUUUCCAAGUAUUAUGGUAAGGUUGAGAAGCUGUGUUGCUGCCAUCAUUGGGAACUGUGGAAGUAAGCAACAAGUUCACACCCUAAGGGUACAGCCCAAUCCGGGAAUAUGAUACUGAGUACCUCUACUGAUUAAAUAUUCCAUUCAAUGGGAAAGCUUUAUGGGCUUUAUGAAAGUUUACAUUUCUUUGUAUAUGUUUCUAUUCAGAGAUAACAAAGAGAUUCUGUUGAAUCCUGGCAGAAACUGAAGGGGAAAAAAAAAACACUGUCAAAUCCAUGUUCUGUAAAUGAAAUUAAAAGUAUAGGGGAUCUUUCUGUGAAAUGUCUGCCUAAGAAAAAGAACCCCUGGGAAUUGGGGCCUUUCCAAAUUACAUUCUAUAUAUAUAGAAGGUGAACUCACAGAGAAUAUUGAAAUGCAGUUUUCAAAUGCCACUGUAUUUUUUCUUGCUGAAUUUGUCAGGAAAUUAAGAACAUGAACUUUCCCAAAUGUCCCAUUAUUUGUACAGAGAAUUAUUUUGUUAAAACAAACCCUGAAUUCAGGAAGGCUAUCUAUUGGUGGACUGGUUCUUUGUGUCAAAGAAAAAUAUAUAGCGUGCAUGUGCAUAUGUGUUUGUACAUGUGUAGGUAAAGAUCUUACAGACUUUCUGAAAAUAUUUUCAGUCUUUAAUUAAGCAUUUAUAAUUUAAGACAGAUACAAAAAAGUAUUUUCGAUGUGCCAAAUGUGAAAGAAUAAUCCCAUAAAGAGAACCGCUCCAUAAAUAUCAGACAAUGGCCAUAAUAGACAUUGAAUGCUGAAAAUCAACUGUCAAAUAAUUGUGUAAAUGAAAGGGAACAAUCCUGAAAAUAUCAUCCAUCACAGUGACAUUUUUUAAAAGAAGGAUCCACUUUAGAAUUUAAUAUGUAUUUAGAAUUCUAUUUCAUUUUCUUCCAGAGUAUGUUUCACUUAAGUACAAAAUAAAUUGUUCAGGCCCACACUCACUAACUGUGAGAAAGUAAGAGGAUGGCUCAGAAUAUUCUCCCUAGCAGAAAAGGCAUUUUGGGUAUUAUCAGAAGAAAAACAUUAGUUCCAAACUAAGCACUAUAAAUCAGCCAUCUGAAAUUUCAAAAUUAUCCUAGAGGAUAACUGAAAAGGUCAUUGGUCACAAGCAAAAUUCUCAUAAAUCUUUUCUGAAAAUCCUUAAGCAUUUUACUCAACCAAAUGUGCAAAAGUUCUUAAAUAUUUCGGUGAUGGGGAUUUUACAACUUUAUAUAAAUCACUCAAUUUAUCAAGGUUUUCUUCAUGUUGAGUCAAAGCCUCUCUAUUUGUAGCGUCUAUCCUCUCGGCUCUAAAGAGAAUAGAGAUGAUCUUCCACAAACACAGCUCCAUGCUGCUGGUUGGAAAUCUAAAGCUGGAAAGCUUAAUUCUCUCAUAUUAUUCUUUCCUCACCAAGCAUUCUUUUGUUUGGAAUAUGCAUAUUAGUCUUUAUUUUUCACAUGCCAUCUACCAGGCCCUUUUCUAUAGAACAUUAGUUCCAUGAGAUGGUCCACAGGAAAAAAAAUGAAACGUUUCUGACAUUAUUACUUUCAGAAAUUCAGUAUAGUCUAUCCCCCCUCCUGGAAAUGUCUGGUAAAAAUAUUUGCCUGUCAUAUGGUCUGAGAUAUGUGGAAGUCUUGAAAUGGGCCAUGUAAGUCAACAUUCCCCUCAAGUAUGUGAAAAUGGAUUUUUGUCAGUUAAUUUUUGUUAAUUCAAAAAACUCAGGUUACUAAUGAGUAUAAAAACAUAAGAUUGAUAUGGUCUCUUAAUUAGUCAAACCUGCCAUUUAUGGACAUACUUCAGUUUGCUAAGAACUCUUUUAAAUCCUGUCUAAGAACAACAUUUAAUUUUCUACCAGUGGUGUAUUUUUUCCAAGUUCUAAAAGAAAUCCCCUUUCCCAAUUCUGUGUAAUUCCUUUAGUACAACCUAGUACUUCAAAACUUUAUGGAGUUUAUAAUCUAGUAAGCCUUUCAUUCUUUUGAUGAAUUAUAAUGAGGCUCUAUGAAAAUAAGAUUUUUAAAAUUAAUGUAGGAUCUGACAUCUGUUCAUGCUAAAUUUAACCUUUCAAAUUUUGCCCUAUUGCAUGUUUUCAAAAUUUUUUCACAUCGUAUCUUGCCAUUCACUACAUUUGCUAGUCCUCUUGGGUUUGUGUGUUUCUCCUCUUUGGUACAUAUUGUUCCAUGAUUUUGUCCAUGUUUUAUGAAAGUUUACAUGAUAGAGUACAGUACAAAGCCUCAUAACCAAUCACUACAACCCUUUCUCCAGUUUGGAAUUCAUCUAAGUUUUACCACUCUCCAGGUAUAGUUGUUUAGCUAUAAAAACACAUUUAUAACACAGUGCUAUUAUCCAUACGGAUAUUUAUAAGAAUCAUAAAAUGUAUCUAUGUAAAAUUCCUCAUGUAUUUUACUAUUUUCUUUGCCUCAACCACUCCACCACAAUGUCUCUAGUUAAGGCAACAGGUGAGCACUACAUAACUGAAGAGACACUUAAUUUUCUAUCCUCUUCUUGACUCAGCAACAUGUGACAAAAUUGAUCAUCUCUGCCUCCCUGAAUCACUUUCUCAAUUUGCCUUAUGCAGUCCUGGACUUUUCCUAUGUAACUUGGAAUUUCAUCAUGGUCUCAUUGUCCUGAUUUUCUCCUACUUAACUUGAAACUUCCUCAUGGCCUCAUUUCUUAAUUCCUUCUGUUACAUCCACUCUUAGAGUGACCUGGCACUGAGUCCCCAAAACUUUUAUAUACCUUACCUACCCCUGAUGAUAGUAUCCAAGCUAAUGGCUUCUGUAUACUUACUAUACACUGAUGAUUCCCGAAAGUGUAUGUCCUUUUCACAAAUUUAUUCAAACUUCAGACCCAUAUUUCCAACUACCAACUCAUUACCUCCAUUUCUAUAACUUUAGGCAUCUCAAAUAAGAGUGUUUAAACAGACCCUCUCCUAUCCUGCUCUCCCACAGUGUUCCCCAUUUCAGGUGACAGUAAAUCCACCCAUGUGCGAAAACUAUUAUGCCAUUUCUAGUUCCUGUCUUACACCUUACACUCAAUGUGAAGUACAUUUUCCCAGCCCUACUUUCAAAACAAAUCUAGAGUCUCAGCACUUCUCAACAUUCCCACCAGACUAUGGCUGAGGAUGUCAUUGCAUUCUCUUGUCAGCUUCCAAUCUACUAAUGAGACUUCUCACGACAACCUUUACUCCCCUGGAGGUUAUUCACUAUGCAAUAGCUGAGUGAUCCUGGUAAAAUCUACAAGGAAUUACAUUUCUUCUCUGCCUAAAUUAUCCAACAGCUUCUCAUCUCACAAUAAAAGCCAAGCAUUCCAAUGGUGGACAAGAUCCUAUAUGAUUUUGCUCCACAAUUAUUUCUCUCACCUUUUCUCCUAUAAUACUCCCCCUGUAACCAUUCCCAGCUAGUGUUUUCCUGCCAUUUCUUGAGCAGAGUAAGUACAUCCAACAGGUUGUUGAAAUUUGAUCUUGUUCUAGUCUGGAAAGCUUCCUCUCUCACUUUCUUCAGGUUUUUGCUGAAAAAACACUUUCACAGUGAAGCUUCCCCUGACUUUUUUUUUUUUUUUUUAAAUAGUGCUUUACACUCACCACCUCAUCUGAGUCCCUUUAUCUGCCUUUUUAAACUUAUUUUCCUCAAUGGCAUUUUUCAUCAUCAGGCAUAGUACAUAUUUCACUUGUCUAGUCUGGUUUUUGUUUGCAUGACUCAACUUAAAUUAAACUAUGUGGCAUUAUUUUUGUUGGUCCAGCAGCUAGAUUAUUGCCUAGCAUAUGACUCCAAAUAUAUCAUUGUUGAAUGAGAAUGAGAAUAGAGUAGACAAAUGAGAAAUAAAAUAUUUUAACUUUUGUACAAUUUGUUCUUAAUAGUUACCAGUGAUUGUCUCUUUCUUUUCAUUAAAUAUUCUGCUUAACAUUUCAUUUAUAAAUAUGCUAGCUUUUAAAUCAGUAAUAUCUGUAUUCAACAUUCCUCCCUUUAUAAAAGUAAAGAUAUUUGAUAUUUGUUCCAGCUCCUCUUCAAUUCUGCGUGUUUUCUCAAGGACAAUUGAUAUCAUGUUUCUCUUGUCAAGCAAUUCUAAUAUACUAUGGUAAAAUUCUUUCAAAUAUAAAGAUUCAAAAUCAUUUGUAGCAGCUGGGAAAUAAUUUUUUCAAAUUCUUUAUCCAUGUUUGUUCUACAGUUUCCACUUUGAAAACCUGUUGCUUAAUAGAGAAAGCAUAAUGAAAUCAGAUUUAGAUAACACUACUGUUUUUGUUUGAUUCAUUAAAUCACCUAGCCCAGCAAUAAGCCGAGGGAAAAUAUUAACUUAUUUUGAUAUUUCCAAUAAUUGAGAUAUUAAAAAGAUAUUAACUUAAUCUCUGUUCAUUUUGAUACAUGGAUAUGUGACAUUUUAAAAAUUACUCUGUUUUCUCCACUCAGUUUAUAUUGGAUUGUUUAAAGGACUAUUUUUCUCCUUAUUGGAAUAUUCUAUAAUUGUAGCUUUCCUCACAUGAUGCUACAACUUAUAAUUUCUCACUCUGUGGUACAAGUUAUCUUUUAUUUAAAUGGUGAAGUCUGCUUUCCCAUAGUCAAAGAUAGUGAACAUUUUCAUCACUGAUAAUACAAGACAGUCAUUUCUAUGUCAUCAACUCCUAUCAAUUUAUCCUUGUUAGUCAAAAUGAAGUGCCCAAUAGAGGUUCUCUAGUCUAACCUUCAGAGAUUAAAUUAUCACAAAGAUGAUUAUAAAAAUUACUCAGAUACUGUCUUUUUCAUAAUAGGUCUUUUAGUGUGUUCCCCUAAUUACUCUGUCUUGGCUCUAUGUCAAUUUUUAAUCCGUUUUAGGAAACACUCAUUCACAUUAUUUUUUUUAAAUCUGCUGGGCCAUUUGUCAUUUAUUUUUUAUAGUAAAUAUUCUAUUAUUUCACUUUUAUUGGAUUCACUCAAUUUUUAUUAAUGUUCUUUUAUAGUUAUUUUUAUGAAGUUCUAUGCAAGUAUUGAGGUUUCUUUUUUCUUUUUUUCUAUUUGAUGCCUUUCCUCCAUUUUCUAUUCUUUCCAGAUAAAUCAGACAUUUGCUGCCAUAUCUCAGUCAAAACCCCCAUCCUGCAAGUUUCUGGUGAUAUUUAGGAAACUACAUAUUUUCUUUAUGUUACAAUUUCAAAAUCAUAUCAUCCCCUUUCUCUCUCUCUCUCUCUCUCUCACCAGGAUCAAUGAUAUCCUUUCCUACUAUUUAAGUAUUAAGUAUUUACCCUUUCAACCUCAUUUUCCUCAUUUGUACAGAGGAAUGAUAACAUUGACCUCAAAAUACAUUUGUGAAAAUUGAAUGAAAUAACAGAGCAAGUGCCUAGCCUGAUUCUGUCUGAU
rnacentral:lncRNA from 1 species